CGUGAGGUGGGGGAAGGAGGCGGGGUAAGUGGAAGGGGGUGAGCGUUGUUAGGAAUGACUGGGCGUAAAGCGGACGUAGGCGGGGAAUGAAGUCAGGGGUGAAAGCCGUGAGCGCAACUCAAGAACUGCCUGUGAUACUGGUUGCCUGGAGGCCGGGAGAGGUGAGUGGAACUGCUAGUGUAGAGGUGAAAUUCGUAGAUAUUAGCAAGAACACCAGUGGCGAAGGCGGCUCACUGGCCCGGUACUGACGCUGAGGUACGAAAGCGUGGGGAGCAAACAGGAUUAGAUACCCGUGUAGUC
rnacentral:rRNA from 1 species